UACAGAGGUCUCAAGCGUUGUUCGGAAUUACUGGGCGUAAAGGGUUUGUAGGUGGCCUGCUAAGUCAGACGUGAAAUCCCUCAGCUUAACUGGGGAACUGCGUCUGAGACUGGCAGGCUUGAGGACAGCAGAGGAACGCGGAAUUCCAGGUGUAGCGGUGAAAUGCGUAGAUUUCUGGAGGAACACCGGUGGCGAAGGCGGCGUUCUGGACUGUUUCUGACACUGAAAAACGAAAGCCAGGGGAGCAAACGGG
rnacentral:rRNA from 1 species